UACGUAGGGUGCAAGCGUUUGUCCGGAAUUAUUGGGCGUAAAGAGCUCGUAGGCGGUCUGUCGCGUCGGCUGUGAAAUCCCGAGGCUCAACCUCGGGUCUGCAGUCGAUACGGGCAAACUGGAGUACUGCAGGGGAGACUGGAAUUCCUGGUGUAGCGGUGAAAUGCGCAGAUAUCAGGAGGAACACCGGUGGCGAAGGCGGGUCUCUGGGCAGUAACUGACGCUGAGGAGCGAAAGCGUGGGGGAGCGAACAGG
rnacentral:rRNA from 1 species